GAGUUGAGAAGAAGAAGCACAGAAAAGCAUACAAGUUGUAAACAAAAACGGAUCAUUUUGUGGAUGACGAAUGGAACCUCAACCAAUUUGAAAUGGGAUUUGCGAAAAGACUUAAGCUGAAGCGCGGGGUGGUACCCACAAUUCAGGUUCGGUAUUACACUAAAUAUAAUUAUACAUAUAUAAUUAUUGUAACAACUUUCGUUGUUGAUUUACGUGAGUACCUGCCGGCGACGGCCUUACCUCACGGUGCUCCAAAGCACAACGUAAAUUAUUGUAACAAUAUAUUUUCACGAUUGGUUCGACGUGAUGAAUGUAAGAGUAUCACGUUUAGAUUCCCGAGAGCGUUGUCAUGCCUAUGGACUCGCUAUUGCUGUACAAAGUUUUAUUAUUGACGAAAUGACGGAAAUGAUAACAAAUCCUUUUUUUGGAAUUAUACGCGCUAAGGAUGGCCUACAUGAUCACCCAGAUCAACAAGAGUUUAAAUACCGCCUUAGAUCAUAUGCAAUAGGAUGAAAUGAAGGCGUUAUAUCAAAUGCGGCUAAUGUGGAAGUCGAUGAUACGCCCGUCUCGCAGCCAUCUUUCACUGGUAAUUUCUAAAUAAAAGUAUUAUUAAUAGUAUUUAGAAAAACAUUACAAUAUGUUUUUAAUUUUAUCAAUGGCGACGGUUUGCUUAUUUGUGAAAAAUAUUUGUAAAAACAUAAGGAGGAAACAUCUAGAACCGAUUGCAGCAAUAAAGUAAAAAAUUGUUCUUCCGGGUUAGAAUGUUUUUUAAAAUAAGGAAGUUAAACAAAGAAUUUGAAGAUCCAUCCACAAAAGGAAACGUAAAUUUAAUAAAAUAGUUUUAGUAGUAUAGAUUUAAUAAUUUUAUUUUCAUAUUUAUAUAAAAACUAUUACUUAUGUAAGAAUAACAAUUAAGAAUAUAUUUAUGUACAAUAAAAGAAAGCAGAUACACC